UGCUGACACACGCUGCUGGUGCAAGU
rnacentral:piRNA from 1 species